AUUGAACGCUGGCGGCAGGCCUAACACAUGCAAGUCGAACGGUAACAGGAAACAGCUUGCUGUUUCGCUGACGAGUGGCGGACGGGUGAGUAAUGUCUGGGAAACUGCCUGAUGGAGGGGGAUAACUACUGGAAACGGUAGCUAAUACCGCAUAACGUCGCAAGACCAAAGAGGGGGACCUUCGGGCCUCUUGCCAUCGGAUGUGCCCAGAUGGGAUUAGCUAGUAGGUGGGGUAACGGCUCACCUAGGCGACGAUCCCUAGCUGGUCUGAGAGGAUGACCAGCCACACUGGAACUGAGACACGGUCCAGACUCCUACGGGAGGCAGCAGUGGGGAAUAUUGCACAAUGGGCGCAAGCCUGAUGCAGCCAUGCCGCGUGUAUGAAGAAGGACUUCGGGUUGUAAAGUACUUUCAGCGGGGAUGAAGGGAGUAAAGUUAAUACCUUUGCUCAUUGACGUUACCCGCAGAAGAAGCACCGGCUAACUCCGUG
rnacentral:rRNA from 1 species